rnacentral:rRNA from 1 species
GACGAACGCUGGCGGCGUGCUUAACACAUGCAAGUCGAACGGAAAGGCCCUGCUUUUGUGGGGUGCUCGAGUGGCGAACGGGUGAGUAACACGUGAGUAACCUGCCCUUGACUUUGGGAUAACUUCAGGAAACUGGGGCUAAUACCGGAUAGGAGCUCCUGCUGCAUGGUGGGGGUUGGAAAGUUUCGGCGGUUGGGGAUGGACUCGCGGCUUAUCAGCUUGUUGGUGGGGUAGUGGCUUACCAAGGCUUUGACGGGUAGCCGGCCUGAGAGGGUGACCGGCCACAUUGGGACUGAGGUACCGCCCAGACUCCUACGGGGGGCAACAGUGGGGAAUAUUGCACAAUGGGCGGAAGCCUGAUGCAGGAACGCCGCGUGCGGGAUGACGGCCUUCGGGUUGUAAACCGCUUUCGCCUGUGACGAAGCGUGAGUGACGGUAAUGGGUAAAGAAGCACCGGCUAACUACGUG